rnacentral:lncRNA from 1 species
GAGAGCGGAUGGAAAGUCGAGGGUGGAGCACUGGUGUCUGGGGCCCAGCAUCCCAGGCAGUGAGUGAGGAAUAACGACAAAUACAAAGGUUCUGGGGUGGGAAUGAGAGGCCUAGUUUGUCAACAGAACAACAACGUGGGGUUAGUAGUGCGGUCUUUAUAGGUAAAGACUUUGGCUUUUAUGCUGAUACAGACCACUUGGCUUGUGAUGCUGAGUUAUAGACUGCAGGGGGACAAGGGCAAAAACAAAUAGACUGAGACUUUAGCAGUAAGUCAGAAUAGGUAUGACAUUGGCCUAGACCAGGGUGGUGGCAGUGGAGACGAUAAAUGGUUGAAUUUUUUUAUGUACUUGCUAAGUGGAGUGGUCAAGAUUUUCUGAUGAGCCAGAUUUUGGAGGCGUGUGGGGGUGUGUGUGUGUGAGAGAGAAUAUGUCCUGGAUGCUUUCACGGUUUUGGCCUGAGCAAUUGAAAAGACGGAGUUGGCAUUAACUGCAGUGGAAGAGGCUGUAGGAAAAGGUGGAGAGAUUACCAGGGGCUGAGUUUUGAACAUACUAAUUUCUUUCAGUCUAUUAGACAUUUAAGUAAAGUCAUAUAGGCAGUUUACCAUAUAUGAUAGGAAUUCAAUGAAGAGGUAUGGCUUAGAGACAUAAACUGGGAAACUGUUAGUAUAUAGACUAUAUAUAAACCAUAAGGCUGGAUGGGAUCAGUAAGAGAAUUAAGGACUAAAUCUUGGGGCACAUCAGCAUUGUUGUCAGAAAUUAUCAGAAAUUAGGGAAGGAGUAUAAGGAGAAGUGGUCAGGGGGGUAAGUGGAAAACCAGAAUAUGGAAGCCUAUAAGCCAAGUGAAGAAAUUUCAAGGAGGGAGGGAGGUCAUCUUUGUCAAAUAAGCGGUCAGGUAAGAUAAGGACUGAUAAAAGAUCACUAGAGGUGAGUGUCCUUUGAAAAGGACAGUUUCAGCACCAAUGUUGGAGGCAAAAGCCAGAUUGGUUUGAGCUUGAGUGAAUAGGAGAGGAACUGGAGAUAGGGAAUGCAGAUGACUUUUAUAAGUUGUGUUCUUAGAAUGGGGAAACAGAAAUGGGACAGUGACAUUUUUGUAUUUGUAAAGGUUGGAAAAUGACAGCAUGUUUGUUGAAUGGUAUUGAAUUCAGGGAAGGGAAGAGGUGAUGACCCAAGAGAGGGUAGGAAUUUAUGGAGCAGUGUCUUUGAGCAGGGGAAGUUAGAUGGGAUCUAAUUACUGCCCAUUUUGGAAGCCUUAGAUAGGAGCAUGGGCAGCUAGCUCUUCUAGAGUUACUACACAAGCGAAGGUGGCGUGGAGUGAUGAAUCUGUGGGCAGAGAUUCAGGGAAGAGGUUGGGUCUUUUGUACACUGUGGAAAACUUUAGUACUUACUCUCAUAGGAUUUUUGUGAGUACUAAAUAGGUUAAUACUUUUAAAAGGAUGAUUACAGAACAUAGUAAAGCACUCAGUAAGUGUUGACUAUUAUUAUCAUCACUUGAGGUAACUGUCAACCAUUUGGUAUGACAUUGCUAAUGCUGUAAUAUUUGUUUAUAAAGUCAUAAUGUUGUUUACAUGACUAGUUUCCAGUUUGGAAACUAUAGGAGUUCCUGUCUUUGGAAACGAAUCUGACCAGCAUCCAUGAGGAUGAAGGUUCGAUCUCUGACCUCACUCAGUGGGUUAAGGAUCCAGGGUGGGCGUGAGCUGUGGUAUAGGUUGAAGACCCCACUCGGAUCCCAAGUUGCUGUGGCUGUGGUGUCAGUCAGCAGCUACAGCUCU